rnacentral:rRNA from 1 species
UACGUAGGGAGCAAGCGUUGUCCGGAAUCAUUGGGCGUAAAGCGCGCGUAGGCGGCCCGAUAAGUCCGUUGUGAAAGUCAAAGGCUCAACCUUUGAAUGCCGAUGGAUACUGUCGGGCUAGAGUCCGGAAGAGGCGAGUGGGAAUUCCUGGUGUAGCGGGUGGAAUGACGCAGAUAUCAGGAGGAACACCAAUAGCGAAGGCAGCUCGCUGGGACGGUACUGACGCUAAGGCGCGAAAGCGUGGGGAGCGAACGAGGA